CAGUGGGGGAUAACGCGGGGAAACCGGCGCUAAUACCGCAUGCGAUCUCAGCUGAAGAGGUGAGAAGAAAGCUGCGCACGAGAGUGGGCGGCGCUGGAUGAGGGGCCUGCGUCCGAUUAGCUAGUUGGUGGGGUAAGGGCCUACCAAGGCGGCGAUCGGUAGCUGGUCUGAGAGGAUGGUCAGCCACACUGGGACUGAGACACGGCCCAG
rnacentral:rRNA from 1 species